UAUGAAGAACGCAGCGAAAUGCGAUAAGUAAUGUGAAUUGCAGAAUUCAGUGAAUCAUCGAAUCUUUGAACGCACAUUGCGCCCGCCAGUAUUCUGGCGGGCAUGCCUGUUCGAGCGUCAUUUCAACCAUCAAGCCCCCGGCUUGUGUUGGGGACCUGCGGCUGCCGCAGGCCCUGAAAAGCAGUGGCGGGCUCGCUGUCACACCGAGCGUAGUAGAUUUCAUCUCGCUCAGGGCGUGCUGCGGGUUCCGGCCGUUAAACCACCUUCAUAACCCAAGGUUGACCUCGGAUCAGGUAGGAAGACCCGCUGAACUUAAGCAUAUCAAUAAGCGGAGGA
rnacentral:misc_RNA from 1 species